rnacentral:rRNA from 1 species
AUUGAACGCUGGCGGCAGGCCUAACACAUGCAAGUCGAGCGGAUGAAGGGAGCUUGCUCCUGGAUUCAGCGGCGGACGGGUGAGUAAUGCCUAGGAAUCUGCCUGGUAGUGGGGGAUAACGUCCGGAAACGGGCGCUAAUACCGCAUACGUCCUGAGGGAGAAAGUGGGGGAUCUUCGGACCUCACGCUAUCAGAUGAGCCUAGGUCGGAUUAGCUAGUUGGUGGGGUAAAGGCCUACCAAGGCGACGAUCCGUAACUGGUCUGAGAGGAUGAUCAGUCACACGGGAACUGAGACACGGUCCCGACUCCUACGGGGAGCAGCAGUGGGGAAUAUUGGACGAUGGGCGAAAGCCUGAUCCAGCCAUGCCGCGUGUGUGAAGAAGGUCUUCGGAUUGUAAAGCACUUUAAGUUGGGAGGAAGGGCAGUAAGUUAAUACCUUGCUGUUUUGACGUUACCAACAGAAUAAGCACCGGCUAACUUCGUG